UGUUUAUUCACGAGAACCACUCGUAUUUCUCUUCCUACCUCAGCACUACUCACUCCCACCGACAGGUUUUGUUGGACACCUCUCCCUUAUUGACCACUCCAUCAGUCUGCCCUACGUCGUUGCACUGUCGUUGAUUUUUUUUUUUUUACGUUCUUCUUCCCUGCCUUUUCGUUGAUCUUGUUCGACAGCUGCACGCACCGCUGCCUGCCGUCUGGUUCGACUCGUUUCGCACGCCUCGCUCUCUUCUUCCCUCUCUAGCGUUGCCCUUCUUUUUAUCAUCUCUGCCAUUCGCAUUUCUGAGGGAACAGAAACCAACGCGUCGCCUUUGUUCGUCUUUGCUGCUGUGAGAGAGUGUGUUGCGUCCGUUUUUGACACGCACGCACGCACGCACGCAUGCAUACAUACACACUCUUUGCCUCUCCGUCGUUGUCUCUCUCAGUAAACGCUUUAUUUUAAAUAUAUUUUAUAUUCUCGUUGUGCUCAUCGGUGUUCCCUAUCUGUGCCUCUGCUCUCUUCAUAUUUUUGUGUUCUCCCUAUUCUGCUUUUGGCUGGUUUCUCGUGUUUCUCGGCUGGGUGUGCGUUGGAGUCGUCGUCGUUCUUGUUAGAUUGCCCCCUCCUCCCUCCUCCGUCCUCCUGUGCUCCUCUUUUUUUCACCCUGCCGCCGCCCCACGUGGCUCUGGUACGGAGAGUGCACGUGAGCCCAGCACACCUACAUCUGGUGCCCUCUGCGCACGCACGCGCUUCGACACAUGCACUCGUAAGCUCAUACAAUCAUUGUAGACACGCAAACCAUAAAAACAAACAAGAAACACAGGCAUCCGCAGCACGUGAACAGCAUCCGCACAAAAGUGUACUCUACGACACACAAACACACAAACAGCACGCAACUAAAUUCCCCCAAAACAGAAGAUGCCGUCUGAGUCUUGCCGGUGGUACCCAGAUACGGUGACGCAUCACAAACAAGGUGACAGCUACACUGUCUCUCGUGGCCGCAACUGCAAUCCGUUCGACUUGGCCACCUGUGAUGCCCGCAUCACCGAGUACACCCGCGCCAACUGCCAUGAGGCGAAGGCGACCGCCGUUAUUAACGCGCUGCACCCCCAGUUUAGGGGCCUGGCGCACGGAGUGAGUUGCGAGUUUCUGCUGCGUUCGUCCAUCACGCAGCUCGGCGUCAACGCCGUGAAUGUUGGGAUCGAAAUCGACCCUGAGCAGCGCCGCGCCGUUGUCAAGAUGGAUCUCGUCGCCCUGACUCCCCUCGCAGUGCUCAUGCUGGACUACAUUGCGGUCGGUGCCCACGUCGGCAAGCUCUUCGCCUUGGAGUCGAAUCGUGUGGUGCGAAAUACGGACUACAUUACUCGUCUUCUGCACGCCGUCAAUCAGCGUGGUCAGCCGCUGCUCGUGUACGGCACCGGUGAGGCGCCCAACUGGGACCUGAAAAUCGUGGAUGGUCGCGUGGUGGCGUAUCUGCCCGUGCUGCCUGGGACGUUCACGUACAGUGGCGAGAUCCAUGGGCUGCUGCCCACGAUCGGAAUGGCGCUGCGCAGGGGUACCGCGUACAAAGACCUCAUCCGCCUGCAUCAGGAGUUCCACGAGGGCUACACGCGCGUCGCCGCGUCGUCAGGGGUUCUGAUGGUGCGUGGGUACGCCAUGCACUUCCGCACUGUAUUUGGCCGCGUGGUGGACAGCCUUUUGCCGAAGGGGUUGCACUCCAUGAGUUCUCGCCUCAUUGAACCGGAGGAGGGCCUGGCGGAUGCCUCCGCUCGGGAGCGCGUGCUUGUUUUCUACGGCGACUCAAUCGACGAUCUCACCCACGUUCCCAUUGAGUUCUACACGCUAGAGUCGUACCGUGAGCAGGUGCCCUUCUCACUGCGUAAGACGCUGGCGGACCGCUGCAGCACGACGAGCAGCAUCCUGCGUGCCUUCAAGAGUGCGCCGAAGGGCGACCUGCCGUGCUGCGCGUACGUGUGCAAGGGCGGUCAAUUCACGGAGAUGCACGCCGACGACUGGAUCGUGACGGACCCGAAGCAGACGACCUACGUUGGGAUCGAGAAUCCAGUUGAGCAGCAGGAACUGGUGCAGCGGUACACGUAUCAGCAGUGCGAGUAUGCGAUCUUGUCUGCGAUUGCGAUUGGCGACAUCACCAGCGACGGCGUCCUUUUCACUCGCUACUUCCCGUCCCCGUGCUUAAAGUCCCUCAUUCUGUCCCGCGCUGUGUGUAAGAAGCUGCGCGCCAUCUUUUUCACCAAGGCAUCUCGCCACUACGGCUCUUUUUUUAGCCAGGAGGAUGCGGCGAUGCUCGGCGACCUCAACACGUUCGGCAUCGCCGUCUUUGAGGUCAACGAGCAGAAGGGGGAGGUGUACCAGUACAUUCGCCGCCCCGGCCGCGACGCGGGCGCCUUCGUUCCUCUCGAGCGUCGUCAAGAGUAUGUCAACGCCACCUUCUUCGGCGUGUACGGCUCUAACCUCGUGGCGGGUGACUUUGAGGCGGAAUUGAUGACGCUGCUGAGUGGCAUACUGCAUAUCAAGAAGACGUGCCAGCAUCCGCUCUUGAACGAGACGAAGCCGCUGGCGCUCGUAACGGGCGGCGGCCCUGGCGCGAUGGAGGUCGGCAACCGUGUGGCCAAGUCUCUAGGCAUUCUCUCGUGUGGGCUCAUCGUCGACUUUGGCAGCGUGGCUGCCAAGCCGGGUGCGACCAUCAACGAGCAGAAUCAGAACCCGUACGUGGAGGCACACUUCACGUACCGUGCUGACAAGCUCGUGGAGCGGCAAUCGGACUUUAACUUGGACUUUCCCAUCUUUCUCACCGGUGGCAUUGGCACGGACUUUGAGUACGCAUUGGAGGAGGUGCGACGCAAGGUGGCGACUGUGCCACCCAACCCGGUUAUCCUCUUCGGCACGCCGGAGCACUGGGGUGCCAAGAUCUCGGGCCGCUACCAGGCCAACCUGCACAGCGGAACCAUCAGAGGGUCGGAGUGGAUUUGCACCGUGCCGUGGGUCGUUUCCACUGGCGCGGAGGCGCUGGAGGUGUACCGGCAUUUCUUCGAGGGCAAACUGCCGGUGGGGCCGAACAAGCCAACAAAUGAUCGUGGGUUUAUGGUGGCUGCUGAGUACUUGGCGAAGGCGAAAUGAAUGUGUACCUGUGCUCGAGUGUGCACGCACGCGUGGAGGAGCAACGCAACCAGCUCCUCAGCACUGCGCACUGAGGGCCAGUCCGGAGGGUGGUGCCUCAGCUGACGGGACCAGAGGCCCUUUCUCCUUGCACUCAUUGCCUUCCUCUUUUAUUUUUUUUUUGAUGUUUCGCUCACUGGCUGGCACGCGUGGUGGUCGCAUUGCUUCGUUGUACUCCGCUUCCCUUAGCUGUCAAGGCCCGGGGUGUGCAUCAGCGAAUCUCUGCCUGCUCAGGCGGGGCGGGGAAGAUACCACCCAUUGUGUUGGAGCGUUGCUUUCUUUGUACCUGUCUUUCAUCGCUCUUGUCUACCGCUUUUGUGGUCACACUUUUUUGGCUUGGCGCUCCGCCUCCACUUCCUCCGUCGGUUGGUCUUUGCCCUUUUCGUUUAGGGUGGAGGGGCUGCACAGGGCCGCGGCGGCACCAUGGUGAUUCCUGUCUUUUUCGCUUGUACUCCCUCCCCUCCUCCUCGCCUUCACGACGAGAGGGGGGCACCUCACCGUUGCACCUCAGGGUCCAGUACAUCCACUAUGUGUGUGUGUGUGUGGAGGCCAAGCAGCACCCCCUAUCCCUGCCAAUGCCGAGCCACUUGCGGUGGUGACGCGGGGCCAGGCACCCGCGACGUGGUGGUGCCAGAGCGCUUCAUCGCUGCUCAUGCCGGCAGCCAUGUCGUGGACGGCGUUGCGUCGGAGCGGCCUGCGACAGCGAGCACGCGUGUGCCAUCCAUGUGGUGGGCAGCGUGUCAGCGCGACUCGAACGUGCCCCGCCCGGCCCUCGCACUGCCUACUGGUGGUGGGCAACCUGCGUGCCACCGCGAGGGAUGCACCAGGGAUGGCGACUGGCAUGGUGUGAGCCGCUGUGAGGCGACAUGCGAGGCGGCGGAUCGGUAGGUCUCGAGGCGGUGCUGAGCCGACGGAGUCGGUGCACUGCUGCACUGGCGCGUGUCUACGGCUGCUUUGCACCACGAGAUGGGUCUGUGACUGGCCAGGGGCAGCAGAGUGGCGCUGGGCUCCUGUUGCGCGGCAGAGAAUGAACCCGCACAUGCGGAGCGAAAAAUGUCUUUGUGUUUUGUGCCAACUCCCUGCUUCUGAGAAAAGUGCAUCUCGUCUGCGGGCUCUGCACUGCGGGUUGUCAUGCAUUUUGAUGACAUGUCUUCUUUUACCACCGCACUUUCCGUCUUUUUGGCGUUUCGCAUUCACUAAG
rnacentral:misc_RNA from 1 species